rnacentral:misc_RNA from 1 species
CGAGGAGGUAAUUUGUUCUUUGACUAUUAUAUGCUUAUAAAGAUGAUAUUUAUCAUUUCUGAUGUUGAAACCUGAAAUUGAAAAAACAAUAGGAAAAAUCCCCAGGAUAUCUUAGAUUGCUUCUGUUUCUUUUGUUCUGACUUUCAUAUUAGUACCCUGUCUGCUUAUUAAUUGUUUGGAACAAUUUUAUUAUGAGUAAAUAGAGUUGUGGAGCAUCGACUACGGG